AGAAUUUGGUUCAAUAUUUGUUGAAUAAUAUAAAUGUAGGGUUAGCCCGUGAACGAAGAGAUAUCUGUAGAAUGUUAUGGAAGAAGUGAGAGAGACAUGUCCUGCCACACCUGUCUCGCUUCUGCCGCGGGCAAAGGGAAAAAAAACGUGAUUUUGUUUACCUCUUCGGGCAUAAUGUCUUCGACAAUUUAAAAACGAUACUCGAGGUACUCGUUUAAAAGGAUAUUUAGCAGAUAUUCACAGCGCAUGUUGACCGCAGUAGACCAUACGCAGGGAACGCCCUUUACCUUGAUCCCAUUACAUGUUGGAGACAGCGCUGGAUUACAAGCUGUUCUAUUAAAUUUUGAUACGAAUUGAAGACAAAGGAAGAGGAGAAAAAAAAUAUUCGAUGAAGAAUUUAACCAUAAAGAAGCAUAAUCAAUAGAUAGCGUUGCAUUUCCAUCCAUUGCUUAUUAAGUUCCCCAAUCUACAGUCCUUUCAUAGUUGAACGCAGCAAUGCAUAUGCAUACAUUAUUGCUUGAGGCAGAAAUAAACGCCGCGGUGGCACACUUCUCGUAGACUUCCCUGCAAGUGACGUAUACAUGAUAUCUAUCGACUAUUUAUAUUAUUUGGUAUAAUUUUCGUUUGCGUUACAAAGUGAAUAUUUAUG